GGCUCGGUAGCUUAACUGGUAAAGCACUUGUCUAGCGAAUAAGGGUCGUGAGUUCAAAUCUCACCUGAGCUG
rnacentral:tRNA from 1 species